GAUGAAGAACGUAGCGAAAUGCGAUAAGUAAUGUGAAUUGCAGAAUUCAGUGAAUCAUCGAAUCUUUGAACGCACCUUGCGCUCCUUGGUAUUCCGAGGAGCAUGCCUGUUUGUGUGUCAUGAAAUUCUCAACCUUUUCAGCUUUCUUUGUUGAUCAGGCUUGGAUGUGGGAGUAUGCGGGCUUCUCAGAAGUCGGCUCUCCUGAAAUGCAUUAGCGGGACCUUUGUUGCCUGGCUUUGGUGUGAUAAUUAUCUACGCCAUUGUAGUCAAGGAGCUUAAAAUGAGGUUUCAGCUUCUAACCGUCUCCCCUGAGACAACUUUUUGACAAUUUGACCUCAAAUCAGGUAGGACUACCCGCUGAACUUAAGCAUAUCAAUAAGCGGAGGA
rnacentral:misc_RNA from 1 species